AAGGGUUCUGUUUCAUAUA
rnacentral:rRNA from 3 species